UCUCCCUCCAUUGAUUCAAGUUUAGACUAAUAACCUCUAAAAGCUCUGUCUCCUAACUAAAAUCACAUAGCCCAAUGCUUUCCUUUUCUCUUCCACUACCUCCAAAUCCUUUUGGCCUGAACAAAAUCUCUGUCGCCGAGUUCACGGAAUGUGACAUGUAACCACCUACUGUCUUCGGAUUGGUACAAUCAUGUUGUGGAGGAGCAUUUACAGUUUAUUGGUUUUUAUCAUGUUUUUCAGAUUGGAAUAGUUCAAUGUCAGAAAGUACUGGUAAAUGCUUUAGUCAAGAGGUGGUACCCAGACACACACACAUUUCACCUUUCGGUUGGUGAGUGUGCUAUGACACUGGAAGAUGUAGCUGUUAUUCUUAGUCUUCCGACAAACGGUCUUCUAGUGAUAUGAGUGACUAUGAGUAGUCAUGAAACCUUAGAGGUUGAAUGUUUACACCAUUUUGGGGUUGCACCUAGAAAGUCAGACUAUAAAAGAAGCUUCAUAAAAUUGGUGUGGCUUCGGAAUUUAAAAGAACGUUUACAAUUGAUUGAUGAGAAUAGCAUUCAGAGGUACGUGAAGUGCCACAUUAUGUUAUUAUUUGGGACGAUCUUGUUUAGAGACAAGUUUGGGAAAGCUGUGCACUAAAUAUUUCUGCCUUUGCUUCGUGAUUUUGGCAGUAUUGAACAGUAUAGUUGGGGAUCCGCAUGCCUAGCACACUUGCACAGGGCGUUAUAUAGGGCAUCUCGUUUUGAAUGCAAGGAAAUCGAUGGUCCACUGACACUUCUGCUAGCUUGGGCUUGGAUCCGUCUACCACAUCUUGCGCUGGUUCCUAGGCAACCCUGCAGUUUUCCGCUUGCGAAAUAGGUGGCAUAACUGGGAGCGUGGAGAUAGACGCUAUAGAUAUCUUAGUCUUUCUCACUUUAGGAAGUCAUUGGAUGAUCUUCAGAAAGUUUGUGUGGGAGGCCUAUGGUAUUGAUCACAUUGAGCCAGACAUAAUUCCUACAGACAUCUACAUGCACUCAGUUGUGUGGAGCGCUAUGGUGCCACUGGUAUCAUUUGAAUGCAUUGAGUGGCGUGCAACCAAUUGGUUUAGGCAACAGUUUGGUUUCAUUCAGGGAGUUCCUCAUCAAGAACGAAGUCUGGACAAGGCAUACAGGAAAGUCCUGACUGGUCCUAAGAAUCUUGACUAGGCCACAGCCACGACUCAUUCAUUUUGGGUGAUGCAGUGGACAAACAGGUAUAAUCACGUUCUUACUGAGCUUCCCGUGCCUCCACAGCAUCCCUUAGAGAUUAACAUGUAUUGGUACCGUACAAAAUAUGGCAACCACUUGAACUUUUCGGGUCUUGUGGUGCAAGAGAAUAAUGAGGGUAAUCCAGUUAGGGAUGAUGACAAUCAAGAGCAGGAGCCACAGUCACCACCACCUCCACCUCCACCUCCACAAGAACAACCACAGUCCUCGAUCCCAUAUGUACCUCAAACACAGUUUACCCUGUCAUACCCAUUACAUCAGCAGUAUUGGAGUACUCCACAGUUUGACACAGGAGAUGGAGCUUCUUUUAGCCAGUUACUUGGGUUCAUGGCUGAUGGAGGUUCACAAUCUAGCCAUCAGCCUGAUAUGAUGACAGGUAGGUAUUCCUUGGAUGCGAACCAUCCAUGCUGCACUUCCUCGGGUACUUCUAGAGGGCUAGUAUUUAGAGACUCUAGUAGGAGUGACGGUGGUCAAGGAAUUCUUAAUAGUCAAAACCCACGACGUGUUUCAAUGGUCUAAUUGAAGAAAAUGCUAAGGCAAUUAAGCAAGAGACUAAUGACUAUCUAGUAGAGCAACUAGAUAAUGAGGAUGACGAGGAGGAUAAAGAUGAGGAUAUGGAUGAGGAUGAAGAAUCCCACAAUGAUGACUCUGAUCAUGGUGAUCAUGCAGGUGAGGCACGAACUCCAGAUGAGACAGGCAAAUGCUACAAUCUUAGGGUUGAUCCGUCACAUCGUAGUGCUAAUCGAGUCACCCCGUCUGUGUUCAAGAGGGCUGCCAAAAAGUGCAAGAGUUUUGUGAAAGAUGUAAACUGGACAAUGAGAAAGUAGUUGUGGUGCACUUAACGUUUUUUGUGUAUCAUUUAACUUUUCUAUAUCUCAUUUAACUUGUCUAUGUAUCAUUACUAUGCAUGUGAUAGAGUACUUGAUAAAG